GCGGUAUCCACUGCAGAACUGUACCUUCUACACCCUCCUUCAUAAAAUGAAAUUAGUUUCACCUGACUUGAUGUCUUUCAUGAAAUCAUGUUGCUUCAUACUAAUACCACUGCUGUUCAAACGGAUUUAUGGAAUCUUAUCCCUUAAUAACCUUUCACACAAUUUCCCACCCAAGUUCACAGGUCUAUAUUUUCUGGAUUGAG